rnacentral:rRNA from 1 species
AUUGAACGCUGGCGGAAUGCUUUACACAUGCAAGUCGAGCGGCAGCACGGGGGCAACCCUGGUGGCGAGCGGCGAACGGGUGAGUAAUACAUCGGAACAUGCCCAGUCGUGGGGGAUAACACUUCGAAAGAAGUGCUAAUACCGCAUACGUCCUGAGGGAGAAAGCGGGGGAUCUUCGGACCUCGCGCGAUUGGAGUGGCCGAUGUCAGAUUAGCUAGUUGGUGGGGUAAAGGCCUACCAAGGCAACGAUCUGUAGCUGGUCUGAGAGGAUGAUCAGCCACACUGGGACUGAGACACGGCCCAGACUCCUACGGGAGGCAGCAGUGGGGAAUUUUGGACAAUGGGGGCAACCCUGAUCCAGCCAUUCCGCGUGAGUGAAGAAGGCCUUCGGGUUGUAAAGCUCUUUCGGCAGGAACGAAACGGCGAGCUCUAACAUAGCUUGCUAAUGACGGUACCUGAAGAAGAAGCACCGGCUAACUCUGUGCCAGCCGCCGCGGUAAAAC